CAGAAUUGACCUUUAAAAUAUUUUUUUAUUCAUUAAGUUUAUUGGUACAUUUUAGGUAUACAUUGUGAUCACAUUCAUCAUUGGGAAUUUGUACCUGUACAUGACACAUCUUGGUUCUUAUUUUUCCCAUUCCCCUUCCCUCCAUUCCACUCCUCCACCUGUCUCUAUUUGCGUAAGAUUUGUUUCCAUUUUUUCAUUUUUUUCUUUCCCUUCCUUCCUUUCCCUAGCUGCCCCUCCCUAGUUCCCGUUCCCCUUUGAACAUUUUCUUCUUAUUUCACAAUAGCUAUUAUACAUUGUGGUCCUCAUUUACACUUUUAGUUUCUCACAUUCAGAAUUGACUUUUUUGUUUUUGUUUUGUUUUGUUUUCCAUACUGGGGAUCAAACUCAGGACCUUGUGCUUGUGAGGNNNNNNNNNNNNNNNNNNNNNNNNNNNNNNNNNNNNNNNNNNNNNNNNNNNNNNNNNNNUUUAGUUUUCUUUCCACUGCUAGUGCCUUCAUAGGACCAAUGCCGGGUGGAUUUCUGUAUGAGAAAAUUGGAUUUGAGUGGGCAGCAGCUUGUGGAGGCUUGUGGCCUCUGACUAGUGGAUUAGCGAUGGGCUUGUUUUACUUCCUGGAAGACUCUAGAAGAAGAUCUAAACCCCAGAGCUUUGAUGGCACAGAGGAGGAGGAAGCUACUCUCCUGCCCCUCAGAGUUUAGCUGGAUGAGCUGAGUGACCUGGGCUGGGGGCAGGAAGCGUGGCCGGAAGUCACUUUUGGGAGAUUUCCUGUUUUAUCACAGAGCUCCAUGGACUCCACACUAACAUGCUGGAAGCGUCAACAAAAUUUGGGAUGAUUUCUUUCAGACUGCACUUACUGUUGUCCUGAAAAGCUGGCCUACUGAACCAAUCAUAUUUACAACAUUUAUUAUGAGAAAGAUUGUUGAAAAGCAAUAAAAGUUUGUGUCUUUUUUUUGUUUUGUUUCUGUUUUUUGAGACAGGGUCUCAGUAUGUAGUUGAGGCUGGCCUUGAACUCACUAUAGAGCCCAGGCUGGCCUCAAACUCAUGCCAACCCUCCUGCCUCAACCUCGCAAGUGCCAUCACACCCAGAAAAGUUUGUGUUUUUAAAUGGCAAACCUUUUCUUGAAGAUAUUGUUGACUCUUUUUAGGCUUCUUGUUACCUCUGUUUAUUUUUUAUUGUUAAAUUCACUGAUUAUAUAAAUAUACCUUUUUAUUAAGAAGGAAAAAAUAAAUUGGUAUGUUACAUACCAAUUACAUAAAGAUGACUCAAAAUAUAUUAAUAAGUAAUAUAUUUAAUAUUGAGUGUAAUUAAUAC
rnacentral:lncRNA from 1 species